AACGACUCUCGGCAACGGAUAUCUCGGCUCUCGCAUCGAUGAAGAACGUAGCGAAAUGCGAUACAUGGUGUGAAUUGCAGAAUCCCGUGAACCAUCGAGUCUUUGAACGCAAGUUGCGCCCGAAGCCAUUAGGCUGAGGGCACGUCUGCCUGGGCGUCACGCA
rnacentral:rRNA from 1 species